rnacentral:tRNA from 1 species
UGCGCCUGUAGCUCAGCUGGAUAGAGUACUUGGCUUCGAACCAAGGGGUCGGGAGUUCGAAUCUUCCCAGGCGCACCAA